AUAUGUCACUUAUUAUCCAUGUGA
rnacentral:siRNA from 1 species